GCGCAGCAGGCGAGAAUAGUCUACAAUGGACGAAAGUCUGAUAGUGCGACGCCGUGUGUGCGAUUAAUUCCUUCGGGAUGUAAAGCACUUUUCUAUGAGAUAAAAGCUCUUUAGGUUAAUAGCUUAUUGAGACGGAUAUUAUUAUAGGAAUAAGCUCCGGCUAACUCCGUGCCAGCAGCCGCGGUAAUACGGAAGGAGCGAGCGUUGUCCGGAUUUACUAGGCGUAAAGGGCUAGUAGGCGACUAAUUAAGUUAUAUGUUAAAUCCCACGGCUCAACUGUGGUCCUGCAUGUAAUACUGGUUAGAUAGAGUACUGUAGAGGAAGGCAGAAUUCCUGGAGUAGCGGUGGAAUGCGCAGAUAUCAGGAAGAAUACCAAAAGCGAAGGCAGCCUUCUGGGCAGUUACUGACGCUGAAUAGCGAAGGUGUGGGUAG
rnacentral:rRNA from 1 species